rnacentral:lncRNA from 1 species
CACCCAUCAUUUCUCUACUCCAGGUCAAGCAAGCUUUAACUCUGGAGUUCUAAACGGAUGUGUGAUGGAAAAGGUAAAUCAACUUUGGUAACAUAGGUAGCCAAAUCAAUCCUCUUAAGCCUUUCCAUAUAUCACAAAUGAGGAUGUUACAAUAACCUUAUAAAAAAUCAUUUACAUCACACAACUCAUCAGCAUAAUCAUUCACAUCGAACAACAAAUUAUCCUUUAACAACCUAAUUGAGUCUAGGUGUUUUUCAUCACAUC